AAUAAAUAUAGGAAAAUUGCCAAAAAUACCAUUUUCAAAGUACCACUUUUCAUGUUUACACUAACCACUUUUACCCUCAUCUUUAAUGAAGGGUAAAAGACAUUUAUAACAUUUUCAUUAACUUUGAGAAAAAAAAACUUAAACCACGAAAGAUCAACUCUAAACCCUAAAUCCCGAAACAUCAACUCUAAACCCUAAACCCUAAACCUUCAAAUCUAAACCCUAAAACAUCAACUCUAAACCCUAAACGUAAACCCUGAACCCUAAAUCUAAACUUAAAACAUCAACUUUAAACCCUAAAUCAUCAACUCUAAACCCUAAACCAUGAAACAUCAACUCUAAACCUUAAACCCCAAAACAUCAACUCUAAACCCUAAACCCUAAACCUUCAAAUCUAAACCCUAAAACAUCAACUCUAAGCCCUAAACAUAAACGUAAACCCUAAACCCUAUAUUUCCUGAAAUUCGAACCCUAAACCCUAAAACCAUAAACCUUCAAAUCUAAACCCUAAAACAUCAACUCUAAACCCUAAACCCCAA
rnacentral:lncRNA from 1 species